UACGGAGGGGGCCAGCGUUGUUCGGAAUUACUGGGCGUAAAGCGCACGUAGGCGGCUUGGUAAGUUAGAGGUGAAAGCCUGGAGCUCAACUCCAGAAUUGCCUUUAAGACUGCCGAGCUAGCAGGUGAGAGAGGUGAGUGGAAUUCCGAGUGUAGAGGUGAAAUUCGUAGAUAUUCGGAAGAACACCAGUGGCGAAGGCGGCUCACUGGCUCAUACUGGACGCUGAGGUGCGAAAGCGUGGGGAGCAAACAGG
rnacentral:rRNA from 1 species